CACCAAAGGAGUCAGAAAAUCUGGAGAAACCCCUCUACAAAACUGGAUAAGAUCAUACACUAAUGUUGGAUGGCCAUUAUCUUAGAGCCCUCAGACAUGAAUCACUGUCUGUGAAUUCAGUUCAACACCUAACAGGUUAAAACUACCAUCGCAGUAACAAACAUGAUUCAGAAACUCUGAAGACUUCUGUGCCCGGGCCCGUUGGGGUUCAGCUAAGUAAAGUGGAAAAUUGUCCCGUGCUCUGAUGAUUCAUAGACACUGUAUCCUCCUCUCCAGAGAAAAAGGGACAACCCAACUUUUCUGCACGUAGUUCAAAAGCCUGAAUCAAGAAAGGGGCAUCACACUUCCAAAUUCCCAGAUUAGUCUCUUUUUAUUCCCAAAAGUGGUCUUCUAGGUCAGUGGUUCUGAAGUCCAGUCCUCGAGGCCCACUUUGGAUGUUUCCCUGCUCCAACACACCUGAUUCAAAUGAUCAGCUCGUUAUUAAGCCAUUACAGAGCUUGAUAACGAGCUGAUCAUUUGAAUCAGGUGUGUUGGAGCAGGGAAACAUCAAAAACAUGCAGGACAGUGGGCCUCGAGGACUGGACUUGAGAACCACUGCUUUAGACUAAUGAACAGUUUUCAGAAAUCACUUUGUUACAAGCCAAAACUGAAUGCUUAUACUUGAAUUUUAUUAGAUUUGUUCAAAAUGUACACAGUAUUUACAAAAUGGCAGUUUUUCAUCUCAGAUCUGUAGAGUGAGGAUGAGAAUAGGAUGGAGGAAUUGCAGAUAAACCUUCAGCUUUAGUUGUUAGUGGGCUGCAACACAAACUAUUAAAGCUUAGCAGAGGAAACACAAUACUUACUAGUGAUUGUGACUACUUGCACAGGCGGCAAACAGUCACAAACAUAUUUAACAUCAAACAAAAAGAGAAGAAUGAGAAGAGAAGUGAUACUUGUUAGAGAUUUGAGAGGGAGGAGAGGAGAGCAUGCAGGCAGGUGUAAUGUGGGAAAGUGAGGAAAGACAAAAGAUGAAGACGAUUCAAAAAACAAAACAGAAACAAAGACGCAGCAGGAAAUGAGAGGGGUUGAAGAGCGAGGCCUUGGAGCUGUUCUAGUGUCAAAUAGGAAGGAGUUACAAAGACUGAUGGAGGGAUACAGUAACAUGGGAGCAAAACAAUUCUGAAAAUAAAUCAGGCAUUGAAAGGGGAAAAAUACAAAUGCAUCUAAAAUAAAAGUGUUUUGUUAGUUGUCUGGAGCGACAUUUCUACUACAAAAAUAAAUCUGACAUUCUGGGCUCAUUUAAUGCUUAAAACCUGAGACAUCGAAUAUAAAGAAGCAUCAGUGAAAAUCAUCACAUUUGAAGAGGCUAAAGAGUCUUUUCUUGGUGUGGGCACAUACACCAGCAAUUUAAAAAAUAAACUUUGCCUUAAAAAAAAAAAAAAAAAAAAGACUGGAUAUGAACUGUAUAUUAGGAAUAUGAAGAUGAGCUCUCAUGUUCUGUAUGUCCAGACACAUUUUCAAGUGAUAAGGGAUCACACUUAUUACAAGGUGUUCGUAUGAGAUCUGGGAAACUAGGAUACCGUCAAGUGAUGGCCUUCAUUAGCAUUAUUAAAAAAAAUGCAAAACUAACCCUUGGUGUCUCAAUAAAACUUAAUUAAAUGCAUCUGGACAAACAGAAGAUGACGUGUUAAUUUAAUCAAUCUUUCAACAUUGUAUUCAAUACAACAGGUAUCAGGAGACACAGAAAAAAACUCUUGAAAUAUUUGGGUUAGCAGCAAAAUCAGAUUAGCAGCAGAUCAACACUUUGCACAUUUCAUUGGAUAAAACUCCCAUGUAUUUUAUCAGCUGUAUGGCUUCAACUUCAGUGGGUCAAACCAAGACUUGGAUUGCUCACAAUUCACUCUCCUUGGUUGGCUUCUGGAGGUGGUUGUUAGCCCACUUAUCACUCCUGUUUGCUCCUGCAAUGCAGCAGUACAACACGCUGAAGAAUGAGAGGUCUGAAGGUGUAAGAGAAGGAAGGUGUGGGGAACUGAGGGGGGGAGGAAUCAGCAAUAAGGACAGGGGGUGAGGUAAAUGAAAGUGGGAAGAAAGAAAACAUGUUCAGAUCAUUGUCAUUACAAGGUUUGGCUGAAAUAUCAACAAUGAGCAUUUCGGAAAAAACAAAUCUUAGAUCAAGGUUUACAAAAGCGUUUUGUCAGCUUGUAGGAGCCAUCUACUUUCCUUGAUGGCAUUGAUACUGAAUUGGAUCUCUGAGACCUACUUUUUAUCAAGUCCGAGUCUCCACGUAUUGUGUUGAAGCUUAACAUGAAACCAACAGGCGAGUGACUCCAUUGACUUUGCCUGACAAGACAAUUUUCAUGACAAAACUGUACAUUGUAGUAGAAAUUUAGAUUCAGGCAGACACUAGGUUCAAAUGCCUUUCCUGAAAUAUUUAGGCUUUACGAGGAGAAAUAAUGAAACUGACUACUUUCAACCUCACCACUACAUCCUGCAAUUC
rnacentral:lncRNA from 1 species